UCCCUGGUGGUCCAGUGAUUGAGACUUGGCACUUUCACUACCAUGGCCAGGGUUUAAUCCCUGGUCAGGGAA
rnacentral:tRNA from 1 species